UACGAAGGGGGCUAGCGUUGCUCGGAAUCACUGGGCGUAAAGCGCACGUAGGCGGGUCGUUAAGUCGGGGGUGAAAUCCUGGAGCUCAACUCCAGAACUGCCUUCGAUACUGGCGACCUUGAGUCCGGGAGAGGCGAGUGGAACUCCGAGUGUAGAGGUGAAAUUCGUAGAUAUUCGGAAGAACACCAGUGGCGAAGGCGGCUCACUGGCCCGGUACUGACGCUGAGGUGCGAAAGCGUGGGGAGCAAACAGG
rnacentral:rRNA from 1 species